GACGAACGCUGGCGGCGUGCCUAAUACAUGCAAGUCGAACGCUUUUUCUUUCACCGGAGCUUGCUCCACCGAAAGAAAAAGAGUGGCGAACGGGUGAGUAACACGUGGGUAACCUGCCCAUCAGAAGGGGAUAACACUUGGAAACAGGUGCUAAUACCGUAUAACACUAUUUUCCGCAUGGAAGAAAGUUGAAAGGCGCUUUUGCGUCACUGAUGGAUGGACCCGCGGUGCAUUAGCUAGUUGGUGAGGUAACGGCUCACCAAGGCAACGAUGCAUAGCCGACCUGAGAGGGUGAUCGGCCACACUGGGACUGAGACACGGCCCAGACUCCUACGGGAGGCAGCAGUAGGGAAUCUUCGGCAAUGGACGAAAGUCUGACCGAGCAACGCCGCGUGAGUGAAGAAGGUUUUCGGAUCGUAAAACUCUGUUGUUAGAGAAGAACAAGGAUGAGAGUAAAAUGUUCAUCCCUUGACGGUAUCUAACCAGAAAGCCACGGCUGACUACGUGCCAGCAGCCGCCGCGG
rnacentral:rRNA from 1 species